rnacentral:rRNA from 1 species
UUGUUGGUAAGGUAAAGGCUUACCAAGGCUUCGAUCAGUAGCUGGUCUGAGAGGACGGCCAGCCACACUGGGACUGAGACACGGCCCAGACUCCUACGGGAGGCAGCAGUGGGGAAUUUUGGACAAUGGGGGAAACCCUGAUCCAGCCAUGCCGCGUGAGUGAAGAAGGCCUUCGGGUUGUAAAGCUCUUUCAGCCGGAACGAAACGGUUACGGAUAAUACCCGUGACUACUGACGGUACCGGAAGAAGAAGCACCGGCUAACUACGUGCCAGCAGCCGCGGUAAUACGUAGGGUGCGAGCGUUAAUCGGAAUUACUGGGCGUAAAGCGUGCGCAGGUGGUUUUGUAAGUCAGAUGUGAAAGCCCCGGGCUCAACCUGGGAACUGCGUUUGAAACUACAAGACUAGAGUGUGGCAGAGGGGGGUGGAAUUCCGCGUGUAGCAGUGAAAUGCGUAGAGAUGUGGAGGAACACCGAUGGCGAAGGCAGCCCCCUGGGUUAACACUGACACUCAGGCACGAAAGCAUGGGGAGCAAACAGGAUUAGAUACCCUGGUAGUCCAUGCCCUAAACGAUGUCAACUAGUUGUCGGGCCUUUACGGGCUUGGUAACGUAGCUAACGCGUGAAGUUGACCGCCUGGGGAGUACGAUCGCAAGAUUAAAACUCAAAUGAAUUGACYGGGACCCGCACAAGCGGUGGAUUAUGUGGAUUAAUUCGAUGCAACGCGAAAAACCUUACCUACCCUUGACAUGUAUCGAAGCCCGCAGAAAAGCGGGGGUGCCCGAAAGGGAACGAUAACACAGGUGCUGCAUGGCUGUCGUCAGCUCGUGUCGUGAGAUGUUGGGUUAAGUCCCGCAACGAGCGCAACCCUUGUCAUUAAUUGCCAUCAUUUAGUUGGGCACUUUAAUGAGACUGCCGG